GGGGCUAUGGCGCAGCUGGUAGCGCAUCUGCUUUGCAAGCAGAGGGUCGCCGGUUCGAACCCGGCUAGCUCCAC
rnacentral:tRNA from 5 species